GAUGAACGCUGGCGGCGUGCCUAAUACAUGCAAGUCGAGCGAACAGACGAGGAGCUUGCUCCUCCGACGUUAGCGGCGGACGGGUGAGUCACACGUGGAUAACCUACCUAUAAGACUGGGAUAAGUUCUGGAAACCGGAACUAAUAACGGAUAAUAUAUUGAACCGCAUGGUUCAAUCGUGAAAGGCGGUUUUGCUGUCACUUAUAGAUGGAUCCGCGCCGCAUUAGCUAGUUGGCAAGGUAACGGCUUACCAAGGCAACGAUGCGUAGCCGACCUGAGAGGGUGAUCGGCCACACUGGAACUGAGACACGGUCCAGACUCCUACGGGAGGCAGCAGUAGGGAAUCUUCCGCAAUGGGCGAAAGCCUGACGGAGCAACGCCGCGUGAGUGAUGAAGGUCUUCGGAUCGUAAAACGCUGUUAUUAGGGAAGAACAAAUGUGUGAGUAACCAUGCAGGUCUUGACGGUACCUGAAGAAAAAGCCACGGCUAACUACGUG
rnacentral:rRNA from 1 species